UACGGAGGGUGCGAGCGUUAAUCGGAAUUACUGGGCGUAAAGGGCGCGUAGGCGGUGGGUUACGUCUGCCGUGAAAUCCCCUGGCUCAACCUGGGAAUGGCGGUGGAAACGGGCUGACUGGAGCAUGGGAGAGGGUGAUGGAAUUCCAGGUGUAGCGGUGAAAUGCGUAGAGAUCUGGAGGAACACCAGUGGCGAAGGCGGUCACCUGGCCCAAUACUGACGCUGAGUCGCGAAAUCGUGGGGAGCAAACAGG
rnacentral:rRNA from 1 species